rnacentral:rRNA from 1 species
GACGAACGCUGGCGGCGUGCCUAAUACAUGCAAGUAGAACGCUGAAGAGAGGAGCUUGCUCUUCUUGGAUGAGUUGCGAACGGGUGAGUAACGCGUAGGUAACCUGCCUUGUAGCGGGGGAUAACUAUUGGAAACGAUAGCUAAUACCGCAUAACAAUGGAUGACACAUGUCAUUUAUUUGAAAGGGGCAAUUGCUCCACUACAAGAUGGACCUGCGUUGUAUUAGCUAGUAGGUGAGGUAAUGGCUCACCUAGGCGACGAUACAUAGCCGACCUGAGAGGGUGAUCGGCCACACUGGGACUGAGACACGGCCCAGACUCCUACGGGGAGCAGCAGUAGGGAAUCUUCGGCAAUGGGGGCAACCCUGACCGAGCAACGCCGCGUGAGUGAAGAAGGUUUUCGGAUCGUAAAGCUCUGUUGUAAGUCAAGAACGGGUGUGAGAGUGGAAUGUUCACACUGUGACGGUAGCUUACCAGAAAGGGACGGCUAACUACGUG